rnacentral:hammerhead_ribozyme from 1 species
GUACUGAUGAAGAGUCCCAUAAUAGGACGAAACAGCUGUCCAGUGC